UACGGGGGGGGGCAAGCGUUGUUCGGAAUUACUGGGCGUAAAGGGCUCGUAGGUGGCCAACUAAGUCAGACGUGAAAUCCCCAGGCUCAACCUGGGAACUGCGUCUGAUACUGGAUGGCUUGAAUUCGGGAGAGGGAUGCAGAAUUCCAGGUGUAGCGGUGAAAUGCGUAGAUAUCUGGAGGAAUACCGGUGGCGAAGGCGGCAUCCUGGACCGAGAUUGACACUGAUGAGCGAAAGCUAGGGGAGCAAACGGG
rnacentral:rRNA from 1 species